UAAAGUUGUUGCAGUUAAAAAGCUCGUAGUUGAAUUUUAGGUCUGGCCGGAUGGUCCGUCUUUGGCGAGUACUGUUCUGUCGUCGGGUCUAUCCUUCUGGUGAGCCGGGAUGCCCUUUAUUGGGUGUGUCGGGGAACCAGGACCAUUACCUUGAAAAAAUUAGAGUGUUUAAAGCGGGCAUUUGCUUGAAUAGAUUAGCAUGGAAUAAUAGAAUAGGACGUUGGUUCUAUUUUGUUGGUUUUAGGACCCCCGUAAUGAUUAAUAGGG
rnacentral:rRNA from 1 species